rnacentral:tRNA from 1 species
UUCCCUGACCAGGGAUGGAACCUGGGCCCCCUGCAUUGGGAGUGCAGCAUCCUAGCCACUGGACCAUCAGGGA